rnacentral:tRNA from 1 species
UAGCUUAGUUGGUAGAGCAUAAGGCUUCUAACCUUGUGGGCGUAGGUUCUCAAGCCCCAC